rnacentral:rRNA from 1 species
UACGUAGGGUGCGAGCGUUAAUCGGAAUUACUGGGCGUAAAGCGCGUGUAGGCGGUCACGCAAGUCAGGUGUGAAAGCCCAGGGCUCAACCCUGGAAGUGCACAUGAUACUACGUGGCUGGAGUACUAAAGAGGGUCGCGGAAUUCCCGGUGUAGAGGUGAAAUUCGUAGAUAUCGGGAGGAACACCGGUGGCGAAGGCGGCGACCUGGGUAGAUACUGACGCUGAGGCGCGAAAGCGUGGGGAGCAAACAGG